rnacentral:rRNA from 1 species
AACGAACGCUGGCGGCAUGCCUAACACAUGCAAGUCGAACGAGAUCUUCGGGUCUAGUGGCGCACGGGUGCGUAACGCGUGGGAAUCUGCCCUUUGGUUCGGAAUAACAGUUGGAAACGACUGCUAAUACCGGAUGAUGACGAAAGUCCAAAGAUUUAUCGCCAGAGGAUGAGCCCGCGUAGGAUUAGCUAGUUGGUGUGGUAAAGGCGCACCAAGGCGACGAUCCUUAGCUGGUCUGAGAGGAUGAUCAGCCACACUGGGACUGAGACACGGCCCAGACUCCUACGGGAGGCAGCAAUGGGGAAUAUUGGACAAUGGGCGAAAGCCUGAUCCAGCAAUGCCGCGUGAGUGAUGAAGGCCUUAGGGUUGUAGAGCUCUUUUACCCGGGAUGAUAAUGACAGUACCGGGAGAAUAAGCUCCGGCUAACUCCGUGCCAGCCGCCGCAGUAA